rnacentral:rRNA from 1 species
AAUUUGUGCUAAUACCGUAUAAUGACUUCGGUCCAAAGAUUUAUCGCCCAAGGAUGAGCCCGCGUAAGAUUAGCUAGUUGGUGGGGUAAAGGCCCACCAAGGCGACGAUCUUUAGCUGGUCUGAGAGGAUGAUCAGCCACACUGGGACUGAGACACGGCCCAGACUCCUACGGGAGGCAGCAGUGGGGAAUAUUGGACAAUGGGCGAAAGCCUGAUCCAGCAAUGCCGCGUGAGUGAUGAAGGCCCUAGGGUUGUAAAGCUCUUUUACCCGGGAUGAUAAUGACAGUACCGGGAGAAUAAGCUCCGGCUAACUCCGUGCCAGCAGCCGCGGUAAUACGGAGGGAGCUAGCGUUGUUCGGAAUUACUGGGCGUAAAGCGCGCGUAGGCGGUUUUUCAAGUCAGAGGUGAAAGCCCGGGGCUCAACCCCGGAAUUGCCUUUGAAACUGGAAGACUUGAAUCUUGGAGAGGUCAGUGGAAUUCCGAGUGUAGAGGUGAAAUUCGUAGAUAUUCGGAAGGACACCAGUGGCGAAGGCGACUGACUGGACAAGUAUUGACGCUGAGGUGCGAAAGCGUGGGGAGCAAACAGG